AUUCAGCUGAGGAGUCCCAAAUAGGACGAAAUGUCACUCAUCCUGGAU
rnacentral:hammerhead_ribozyme from 1 species